rnacentral:rRNA from 1 species
CCUACGGGUGGCAGCAGUGGGGGAUAUUGCACAAUGGGGGAAACCCUGAUGCAGCGACGCCGCGUGGGUGAAGAAGUAUUUCGGUAUGUAAAGCCCUAUCAGCAGGGAAGAAAGAAGACGGUACCUGACUAAGAAGCCCCGUCUAACUACGUGCCAGCAGCCGCGGUAAUACGUAGGGGGCGAGCGUUAUCCGGAUUCACUGGGUGUAAAGGGAGCGUAGACGGCCGUGCAAGCCAGGAGUGAAAGCCCGGGGCCCAACCCCGGGACUGCUCUUGGAACUGUGCGGCUGGAGUGCGGGAGGGGCAGGCGGAAUGCCUGGUGUAGCGGUGAAAUGCGUAGAUAUCAGGAGGAACACCGGCGGCGAAGGCGGCCUGCUGGACCGCGACUGACGUUGAGGCUCGAAAGCGUGGGGAGCGAACAGGAUUAGAUACCCUAGUAGUC